CACACAAGGCUUGGGAUUUCUCUGUUUUUCUUUGAAUGCUUUUGUCAUUCCAUUCUCUUUGGCAGGAAGAGAUGACAGACUUCAGAGACUGAGGAAUUGCUGCUGGAGUACUGGAGCAAUGAGGCAGAAGGAAGGGGCUGGCCCCUGCUUGUACCUGCAGCCCCAGGGCUGCUGUCCAUAAUGAUGAUGGGAGUUUGUGAAGUCAAGAGCAAAAACGGAGUGAAAUUCCCAGGACUCAGCACUUGGUGAAUGAGGGCCUGUGUGGAGAAGGUGUUGCUAUGAGGAAUUCAUGUUUCUUACUUCAGCAGCGUGAGCUGGCGCUGACGCCCACAGGUCCAUCUCCUGACCCUGCGGACAAGCCCCGGGUGGACGGCGUGCAGGUCGGCAUUGUGUGGACUCCAGCUCCCUCUAAUGGUAAACGCUCUACAGAGUUCCUGUAGAGUUACAAGCAAGAUGACUGCGUUUCCAAGAACAGCAAAAAUUUUGCUGGAAAUGGACACUUUUUUACUUGAUGAUAAUUAAAAGCUUUUUAAUGUUUGAAACAGCUUUGCUUGCAAUCUGGGCUGACAG